UUACGGCCUUAUCAUGUUGAAACACCAGGUUCUUCUACAAUCCCCAAAGUUAAGCAACGUCGAGCCUGAUCAGUACCUAGAUGGGUGACUGCUUGGGAAUACCAGAUGCU